rnacentral:lncRNA from 1 species
AGCACUUUACAUUAUGGUCUGGGCGGAGCUGAUUGAGGCCAUCUUUAUUCUUUUUUUCCCCCUGAUUUUUAAAAAAAGAUUAUUUAUUUAUUAUGUAUACAGUAUUCUCCCUGCAUAUAUGCCUACGCACCAGAAGAGAGCACCAGAUCCCAUUACAGAUGGUUGUGAGCUACCACGUGGUUGCUGGGAAUUGAACUCAGGACCUCUGGAAGAGCAGUCAGUGCACUUAACCUCUGAGGCGUCUCCAGCCUCUCUUACCUGAUUAAUUUUGAGACAGGGUCUGAACUGAACUCACUGUGUUAUGAAGGCUCCUCCUCUGCUUCUGGCCCCCGAGUGCUGGGAUGCGUCACCAUGCCCGGCGGCCAUCUUUAUUCUGUACCUGUGUGCAUGCACGGCUGUGGAGUCCAUAGGCUGAUGUCACGUUUAUUCCUCUCCAUUUCAUUUUUGAAAAGCCAGUCUCUCAUUGAUCUGGAGCUUACUAAUUUGAUUAAACCCUGGCCAGCAAGCCCAGGGAAGUAAGUCUCCACUUCUCAGCACUGGGAUUACAGGUACAUUACCCGGCAUUUUACCUGAGCAAUCGAGAGUCAGCAGGUCCUCCUUCAUGCUUGUACCGCCAGCGCUUUGCUGAGUAAACAGGGCCAUCUCCCCAGCCUCACCUUUAAUCACAGUCUCGUACUUCCUGAAGACAGGUUCUUUACAGCACCUGUCAGUUGAUGGUACUCGCCGAGAGAGCAGCACUUUCAGGGAAUGAGCUGUCUAUUCUUUGUGGCACCCUUCUCAGCCACCCUGAGCUCUGGGGAUGGGGUGGGAAGGGGGGCUUAUAUAAAGACCCUCUAAAGUUUGUCAUGCUAAUUGUCAUUUGGUUGGUGAUUUGUCCCUGAGCAUGGGUAGAAUAACAGUAUGCAGCUGUCUGUGUUCAGGAUAAGGUGGCACUUCUGGUGUCUGACCCCAUCUUGACAUUGUCACCAUAUCUAUACAUUUUCCCAAGGUGGCAACAGGCUUCCUAGUUGCUGUUCACUUCAUCUGGUGCCCAAGCCGGGGCCUGGGGCAUAGCAGUGGGAUUAGGCCUCUGCACUGAAGGGCACAUGCUCCUGGGUUUUCAGUGUGCUGCUUGCCUGCCAGUCAUUGCCAUAGAAGCAGUUUGGGUUUUUUGGUUUUUUUUUUUCCAAUGCAAUAGCCUUCUUUUCUGCAUUACAAGUACAUCAUAGUAAUUUGAACUAUUGUUUGCGAUUUAUAUCAGUUUUAAGUUCUCAGCCCAUUCUUGAGUCAAUCCUAGAUUGUGGAUGGACCUCAUGAUACAUAAUAAGGAGUAUGAAGCCAGACGCAGGACCAGAGAUACAGUUCAGGAGGUAGAAUGUUUACCUAGUAUGAAACAACCCUGGGUUUGAUUCCCAGUUCUCGAUGAACUGAGAGAGGAGGUAUGUGCUUACAAUUCCAGCACCUGGGAAAUGGAGACAGGAGAAUCAGAAGUCUGGGUUCAUCCUUAACUGCACAGCCAGUAAGGGCAUGCUGAAACACCCGAUCCUGUCUCAGACAACAAUAACAACAACG